rnacentral:rRNA from 1 species
CUAAGGCGAGGCAGAAAUGCGUAGUCGAUGGGAAGCAGGUUAAUAUUCCUGCACCAGUGGGUAGUGACGGAUCUCGUGUGUCGUCAGUCCUUAUCGGAUUGAACUGGCGGCGAAGAGGUCCCUGGAAAUAGCUCCCACAUUAGACCGUACCCCAAACCGACACAGGUGGGUGGGAUGAGAAUUCUAAGGCGCUUGAGAGAACUCGGGUGAAGGAACUCGGCAAAAUGACACCGUAACUUCGGGAGAAGGUGUGCCCAUUUGAGUGAAGGACUUCGCGUCUGGAGCUUAGGUGGGUUGCAGAAACCAGGGGGUAGCGACUGUUUACUAAAAACACAGGUCCGUGCCAAGUCGCAAGAC